rnacentral:rRNA from 1 species
UAAAGCAGCUAUAUCACCCUGCAACUCACAACUGGCAACCCACUGAAGCUAAGCAGAUGUGAGCCUGGUCAGUACCUGGAUGGGAGACUUCCUGUGGAAAAACUAAGGUUGCUGCUGGAA